rnacentral:rRNA from 1 species
GUAUUGAUUGGUGCUUGCAUCAUGAUUUACAUUUGAGUGAGUGGCGAACUGGUGAGUAACACGUGGGAAACCUGCCCAGAAGCGGGGGAUAACACCUGGAAACAGAUGCUAAUACCGCAUAACAACUUGGACCGCAUGGUCCGAGCUUGAAAGAUGGCUUCGGCUAUCACUUUUGGAUGGUCCCGCGGCGUAUUAGCUAGAUGGUGGGGUAACGGCUCACCAUGGCAAUGAUACGUAGCCGACCUGAGAGGGUAAUCGGCCACAUUGGGACUGAGACACGGCCCAAACUCCUACGGGAGGCAGCAGUAGGGAAUCUUCCACAAUGGACGAAAGUCUGAUGGAGCAACGCCGCGUGAGUGAAGAAGGGUUUCGGCUCGUAAAACUCUGUUGUUAAAGAAGAACAUAUCUGAGAGUAACUGUUCAGGUAUUGACGGUAUUUAACCAGAAAGCCACGGCUAACUACGUGCCAGCAGCCGCGGUAAUACGUAGGUGGCAAGCGUUGUCCGGAUUUAUUGGGCGUAAAGCGAGCGCAGGCGGUUUUUUAAGUCUGAUGUGAAAGCCUUCGGCUCAACCGAAGAAGUGCAUCGGAAACUGGGAAACUUGAGUGCAGAAGAGGACGACAGUGGAACUCCAUGUGUAGCGGUGAAAUGCGUAGAUAUAUGGAAGAACACCAGUGGCGAAGGCGGCUGUCUGGUCUGUAACUGACGCUGAGGCUCGAAAGUAUGGGUAGCAAACAGGAUUAGAUACCCUGGUAGUCCAUACCGUAAACGAUGAAUGCUAAGUGUUGGAGGGUUUCCGCCCUUCAGUGCUGCAGCUAACGCAUUAAGCAUUCCGCCUGGGGAGUACGGCCGCAAGGCUGAAACUCAAAGGAAUUGACGGGGGCCCGCACAAGCGGUGGAGCAUGUGGUUUAAUUCGAAGCUACGCGAAGAACCUUACCAGGUCUUGACAUACUAUGCAAAUCUAAGAGAUUAGACGUUCCCUUCGGGGACAUGGAUACAGGUGGUCCAUGGUUGUCGUCAGCUCGUGUCGUGAGAUGUUGGGUUAAGUCCCGCAACGAGCGCAACCCUUAUUAUCAGUUGCCAGCAUUAAGUUGGGCACUCUGGUGAGACUGCCGGUGACAAACCGGAGGAAGGUGGGGAUGACGUCAAAUCAUCAUGCCCCUUAUGACCUGGGCUACACACGUGCUACAAUGGAUGGUACAACGAGUUGCGAACUCGCGAGAGUAAGCUAAUCUCUUAAAGCCAUUCUCAGUUCGGAUUGUAGGCUGCAACUCGCCUACAUGAAGUCGGAAUCGCUAGUAAUCGCGGAUCAGCAUGCCGCGGUGAAUACGUUCCCGGGCCUUGUACACACCGCCCGUCACACCUGAGAGUUUGUAACACCCAAAGUC